UUUUUUUUAGGUCUUAUAUUCAAAAAUGAUAUUAAAUUGCAAAUUUAAAGGAGUAAAUUUUACUAAGACUU
rnacentral:tRNA from 1 species